rnacentral:rRNA from 1 species
CCUACGGGGCGCUGCAGUGGGGAAUAUUGGACAAUGGGCGAAAGCCUGAUCCAGCCAUGCCGCGUGUGUGAAGAAGGCCUUCGGGUUGUAAAGCACUUUCAGUGGGGAAGAAGGCCUUGGGGCUAAUACCCUCGAGGAAGGACAUCACCCACAGAAGAAGCACCGGCUAACUCCGUGCCAGCAGCCGCGGUAAUACGGAGGGUGCGAGCGUUAAUCGGAAUUACUGGGCGUAAAGCGCGCGUAGGCGGUCUGAUAAGCCGGUUGUGAAAGCCCCGGGCUCAACCUGGGAACGGCAUCCGGAACUGUCAGGCUAGAGUGCAGGAGAGGAAGGUAGAAUUCCCGGUGUAGCGGUGAAAUGCGUAGAGAUCGGGAGGAAUACCAGUGGCGAAGGCGGCCUUCUGGACUGACACUGACGCUGAGGUGCGAAAGCGUGGGUAGCAAACAGGAUUAGAUACCCCAGUAGUC